GGCAGCUAGACUGGUGACUGGGAGCGGCCACCGAGACCAUAUAACACUGGUCUUGAAAGACCUACACUGGCUCCCAGUACGUUUCCAAGCACAAUUCAAAGUGUUGGUGCUGACCUUUAAGGCCCUGAACAGCCUUGGUCCAGUAUACCUGAAGGAGCAUCUCCACCCCCAUUGUUCUGCCCACACACUGAGGUCCAGUGCCAAGGGCCUUCUGGCGGUUCAUGAGUACAUAGGAAACUUAUUAAAUACUUAACUAUACUGCUGGGCCAGAAAGUUCAGUUUAUGUCUUGUUGUGAUUCCUUUCUUAAAGGUGAAUCUCAUGUGAUAGAAGCUGAGGCUGACUCUACAGUUGGACGUCAGUUUAUCCUCAAGGCAGACGAAGGACUCGGAUGGCUCCUGGAUUCCGAUAAGGCUGUGACAACAACUGAUGAUGCACCACACACCAAAUCUGAAAACGUUGUUGUGGCCAAGCUAACCUCUGCUACAGAUGAAAGCUUGCGUGAACUGGCACCCUCUGUGGAGAUAACAAAGUUGUCCCUGCAAGGCACUGCAUCACAGAAGGGGACUGUCCUGGAACGAAUCCAAACCACAGCAGCUGCUGUCGUGGUGCUUGUCCUGUUGAGCUGCAUCUUCUAGAUACGUGGAUAAAUCCAUUUGCUUGUAUAUUGAAAACGGAGGUUUUUUUCUUGCAGCCUGAAACUGUAGAGCUGGCAACAAUUGUGUUUAUGUAAUGUCUGCUGCACAAGCAAAGCUUGUGGCCAGGUGGUUCAUCCUCUGCAAGGGCUUAAGCAAAAUGGACUACUGAAAUGAAAAAUAAACUGCAUGUGGUAUUCACUGUUGUUUUCAAUUGGCAAUGCAUAACAAUAUGCAAUUGAUGUUGUUUUCCCCCCAUUUACAUUGAGG
rnacentral:lncRNA from 1 species